ensembl:lncRNA
GUUUAAUAAUGUUUGAUUCCACCAGUAGGUGGUGAUACAUAGUUUAAUUUAAAAGCAAAGCCAUGGCGAGUUAUACAAAUCUUUGACCAAUCCAUUCACAAAAUAUAUACUGAACAAAAAUCUAAAUGCAACACGUAUAUUUUUGGUCAUAUUAUUUAUAAGCUGAGAAAGAAUAUAACGAAAUAUUCCAUAACACAGAAAAUAUCCCUCAAAUGUUGUGCACAAAUUGGUUUGUUCAGUGUACAAAAAUGUCAUAUCAUCCCUCAUUUGUGGGUUCUAGAUGAGCUGACAUUUCAAAGAUGUUCAGCUUGAUAUGUUUUACUUUUAUUUAAAAUCAGAACAGCAUAUACUGCAUGAAUCUCUUUAUUGUAAUAAGUGUAAACAUAAUUGCAAAUGGCUUAUGAAUGGUCAUGCAAAGCAAACCCUCAAAUAAUUUUUGUGUUUAAAUGUGUAUACCCUAUGUAUAUAGUUUGUCUUGUUUUUGUACACUGCAAUAUAAGAUUUUAAAACCAUUAUGCAAUGUGUGAAAUGACUCAUUAACUUGUUACUAGUCAAUUGCUUCAAAUUUACAAAACAUAUGCAGACUCUUCAACAUGUACAGGGGAAAGGCUAUAAACAAAGCAGGUUUGUUUAGUAUGCGAUUGCAGUUUCGCAAAAGAGCAAAAACUUACACUGGAAAGUUUAAUAAUGUAUUCAUCUCACAAGAAUACAACAUCUCAUAUAGGCCAUAGUGAAUAAUGGUGAAUAAAAAAAUAUGAUGGUACAUACUAAAAUGUUACUGCCUACCUAUGCUAAAAUCAUUACACAUACUUUGAGCUAUGCCACAUUUACAGUUUACAUCAUUCACUUCAAUCGUAAUUCUUUAAACAACUGUUAAAAAUGUAUUCCGGUGUUCAGCUAAGGCCCUGCAUAAGAAGUCAUUUGGUGCCAUCUUCUUUCAAUAUUCAAAGUCAGCAACAGUGCUUCAAUAGCAAUCAUACUGUGAUGAUACAUAUAUUAUACAUACACAGUACCAGUCAAAAGUUUGAACACAUCCACUUGACUGUGUAAAUACUCGGGUCGGCUCCAGACAUAUGCGACAGAAGCGGUCACUUAGGGCCCCCAACCACUAGGGGUCCUCCAACUGCUAGGGAGCCCCCAAACGUAAGGGGAAGGGGCCCAAAAUAAAACAUUUCUAUGGGCCCCCAAAAGGCUAGAGUUGGCAUUGUACAUACUUGUACUACUGUAUAUAAAACAGCAUUAAAACCCAAUCUAUUAUCUGAUUCCCCAGUCUUUAUAUAUAAUGCCCACUUUCCUGUGUUGCUGUAAGUGCCUCCUUGCCACCCUCUUGCAGUGGCAUGUUCACGUACUCCUCCUCCCUGGAAAGAGGAGCCUCAGAAUCAGCCUGUGAGGAACCUGUGGGGGUGCUGCUCGUAGGGGUGGAGCACAGCCCGUUUCCAAUGUUCACAGGAUAGUUAACGGUGAUGUUGACAUUAACCAGGGGGCUGGAUGGCAGGGAGCUGUUUGAUUGGCAGUUGCUGGGCUGGGGGGUGCUGACCAGGGUGCUGGGCUGUUGGAGGCUGGACUGGAGGGUGCUAGGCUGUUGGAGGCUGGACUGGAGGGUGCUAGGUUGUUGGAGGCUGGACUGGAGGGUGCUAGGCUGGGGGGUGUUGACCGGGGUGCCAGGCUGUUGGAAGGUGGACUGGAGGGUGCUAGGUUGUUGGAGGCUGGACUGGAGGGUGCUAGGCUGUUGGAGGGUGGACUGGAAGAUGCUGGGCUGUUGAAGUGGAGACAGGGGGUCUACUGACAGGCCCUCCAGGCUGUUGAAGCACCCUGAUCCCAUUGUAGUGCCCUGCAGGGUCUCUGGCUGACUGGCCUCGUUGCUGCCUCCCAGAAGAAACGUCUUUUCCUGACAGAUGGUUUUGAUUGAACUGUUGCAAACAACUAAUGGCCCAUCACUAUCAAACUGAGAGAGAGCGAGAGAGACAGAGAGAGAAAUAAUUUGUUCAAGUUCAAGGAAUCAAAAUGUUCUUGUUCUUAGAUGUCAAAACAUAACUCACUUUAAUUACUGCCUUCUCAGAAUUCUCUUCUGUAGCUCGUCUGAACUGGAUGAUGGCUAUAAGAGAACAAUAAACAAUUCAUGCCCAGAUCUGCAAUAAAAUCUGGGUUUUUACAAUCAAGAUCUGAUCCGUACAGCUUUACCUUUCUUGCAAAGGACCAUGCCUAAGACCAGCAAGAAAAAACCUGUCAUUACUCCAGCAACUGGUGGGGGGACAACAACAUAGACAUGUUAGUAGGGAGACUGAAGCAGAGGAACAUUCAAAACAGGAGUGUGACUCAUGGACCACAUCUAGUAGCUCUCUGGAUUUACCCAUCCAUGGGUCAAAGCCUGGUGAUUUGCCUUCUGUCGAAGCGACGACCAGCCAGUCAGUGGAUGCCAGCUUUGGGACUAGUUUGGUUGGUAGAGUAGACAGGCUCUGCAGACUUGGCUGGGUGUGCCCCCUACCAGACGGCAGCGUUGUCAACUGUGGCCGUGAAGGUGUGGUGGUUUUCGGUGAUUCAUUUAUCUUCAGUCCACAUAUCACAUUUGAGCUGGCAUUACCGUAAGUCAGUAUGGGCCUUCCCUGAGACUUGCAGCUGUGGAGACAGUGUCAGUCUAAUUGUUACAAAAAACAAGAACUGUGUGUGUUUGUGUGUCUGAGAGAGAGAUCCAGGUUUAUGUGUAAAGGUGAGGUCCAAACGUACCCGCAAAGAUAGUAAAACUUGACAAAUCGGCCCUGAGAAGGUCCACAAUACAAUAGAAAGAGAAAUGUAUGUGUUUGUGUGGGUCUGCACGAAUGUGAUUGACUCACUCUGUGUAGGGCUGACAUGCCUGGGUGUAGGAGUGUUGGUCUGAGAAGGUUCCGUUGGGGCAGGUUUCACAUUUCACAUCUGAAUCUGCUGUCCCUGAAACACCACAAGACAUCAUCAUGUAAAUUCUCAGAGUCAAUUGUAACAUUCACCUUUUCACGAUAAUAUAAGCUUUACUUGUUGGUUAUGAAAAUACAGUACACAUGUUAACA